rnacentral:rRNA from 1 species
GGACUACCCGGGUUUCUAAUCCUGUUUGCUCCCCACGCUUUCGUGUCUCAGCGUCAGUAUUCGUCCAGUUGGCCGCCUUCGCCGCCGGUGUUCCUCUCGAUAUCUACGAAUUUCACCUCUACACCGAGAAUUCCACCAACCUCUCCGAUACUCUAGCCUUGCAGUAUCGGGUGCACUUCCCAGGUUGAGCCUGGGGCUUUCACAUCCGACUUGCAUGGCCGCCUACACACGCUUUACGCCCAGUAAUUCCGAACAACGUUUGCACCCUCUGUCUUACCGCGGCGGCUGGCAC